AUUGAACGCUGGCGGCAUGCCUUACACAUGCAAGUCGAACGGCAGCACGGGGCAACCUGGUGGCGAGUGGCGAACGGGUGAGUAAUGCAUCGGAACGUACCUUUCAGUGGGGGAUAACGUAGCGAAAGUUACGCUAAUACCGCAUAUUCUGUGAGCAGGAAAGCAGGGGAUCGCAAGACCUUGCGCUGAUUGAGCGGCCGAUGUCAGAUUAGCUAGUUGGUGAGGUAAAGGCUCACCAAGGUGACGAUCUGUAGCGGGUCUGAGAGGAUGAUCCGCCACACUAGAACUGAGACACGGUCCAGACUCCUACGGGAGGCAGCAGUGGGGAAUUUUGGACAAUGGGGGCAACCCUGAUCCAGCCAUGCCGCGUGAGUGAAGAAGGCCUUCGGGUUGUAAAGCUCUUUCGGCCGGGAAGAAAUCGCACGGGCUAAUACCCUGUGUGGAUGACGGUACCGGAAUAAGAAGCACCGGCUAACUACGUGCCAGCAGCCGCCGUAA
rnacentral:rRNA from 1 species